UUUUUUUCUCUAAAACCAAAUCGGGAUCACAGACAAAAUCCGCUCACACAUAUCAUAAUAGAUCCUCUCUAUCAGUAGAAACAUUCUAACUUUUCCAUCAAUUUCCAUACAUUCUUUUUUCCCUUUUCUAUUUUUUUUCCAAGCAUUGCAGGAGCUUUUAUUUACAGCGCUACGCUAUUCAACAAUGCUCAUAAAAAAGGUAGCUAUUGUUCGACGUUGUGAAAGAGGGAGCAGACAAAAGACCGCGUUACGUAAUGGACUUCCCCACUGAUUGGUCGGUUUUAAUUGACCCAUCAGAAAAACUCUCGACCAAUCACAACUCAUAGAAACUCUCGACCUCACAACUAAUAGAAGGGCUCUUUACGAGUGAUUAAAAUAAAUAAAUAGAGAGAGUGGAUGGCAGACAGAUGAGCGAUAUGUGUAUUUAUACCCCGAAGAAAAAUAAAGAAAAAAGGGAAAGAAAGAAUGGAUAGUGGCAAGACUAAGUUUUGCUUUCAAAACCGUCUAAUGAACUUGAUUUUAGAUUGCGUAUAGUUUCCGGUAACCCUCUGUAUAGAAUCUUUAAAGAAUCCAUCAGAAAAGAGCAUAGCAUAAAUAGCAAUUAAUCAGAAACAAAAAUCAAGGAAAGAAAAGAAAGUUUAUUACUUUCACACACUAGGAUGAAAUUGACUUGGGAUAACGGGUUCGUAUAGUUCCGGUGUAGCGGUAGAUGUGGCUCCUAUUAAAAUAUAUAAAUAAAGAGGGUAGGUCAUAUAUAAUUUUGAAGGAAAUGGGUACCGUGUGCAUGCAGAUAGAGUAACGAUAGCAAGAACGAUAUCUGCCGAAGAGAUAUUGGUUCUGAAUCCGCCGAAAUUGGAACACGAUCCGCCGGCAGGUUUAUUUGCUUUUGUCAUAUUAUGGAGUUAAUUUAUUUUUCCCUCUCUCAUCUUAUGGUAUUGAUUGAAAUAGAUUACUGGGAGUAUACGAACUCAAAUAAAUAAGGGCUAAUAAUUAAACCUGAAUAUCAUUCAGAUAUCUGACAGCUAUUUGAAGAACACGUAUUAACUGGCUCGACACAAUUUCAUAUUGACGAAGACAUCGCUUUUACUCGUUACUUUUGAAAGUAGUGUGAAGUUGCGGUUGGAACAAUAUCACCAUAAGGAUUGGAAGCGUUAAUAAUGUCGACUCAACUCCUCUCCGCUCGACACACCCUCUCUCCGAUGGCUGGGGAUGCUAAGUCACCGGUCCCCAUCGAGGUACGCGAGCCCGACUGCAACAAGGCCAUCGCUUCGGUCAUCUGGCUUCGACAUCAUCGACAACCAACCUCCCGAGUCUUUAACUGCCUUGUCUCGAACUGUCCUCUCUGUCCGGCCUCGAGUUCAACUGAAAGAUCCUUUUCAGCGAAACUUAGGAGCGUACCACAGCCGCGAUGGAGGUCGACAUCUGAAGUUAAUCAACCCAAGGUCGUCAACUGGCUGACACCGUCAUCGACACCCUCGUCGAGCUCCAUGUCCCAUCGAAAGAGGCCAUCACCAUGGACAUCAUCCCCGCCGAAGAAGCGUCUCGCCCGGUCACCACCGUCUUCUCUCGAUCAUCGCCCCGUCACUCCAGAAAGUCUCCGCUUCUGCUGUCCAUUCUGCCCGAUGUCGUUUGUCAAGAAGGACGAUUUUACCAUCCAUCGUCGGUUUCAUCUGGGAACUGAUGUCUACUACUGUCAAUAUUGCCAGAAACCCUUCGAUAGUCCUGCUCGAUUGGUCAAACAUCGUCGCGUUCACACCCUAGGGCAGCCGUUUCGAUGUCCGUUCAGAGGAUGCCCUUCAGAGUUCACACAACAAAGAAGCCUGGAUAGACACAUCAGUCAGCAUCACCGGAACGAAUGAAUGACAGCGUAGGUCUUCCCAAAGAACUUUAUCAGAACUCUAAAAGCUUCCAUCUCGUUGAAGUGUACUGUAUUGUUGGUGGCGUCUUAUUCGGUUGCUUUGAAUCUAUCAUGUUGAUAUGAAGUUGAAUAAAUGGAUGUUUAUAUUGCA